GAUGAACGCUGGCGGCGUGCCUAACACAUGCAAGUCGAGCGGGAUUCAUGAGGACGAAACUUCGGUCUAGAAAUCAUGAUGAGAGCGGCGGACGGGUGAGUAACGCGUAGGCAACCUGCCCUUAGCACAGGGAUAGCCUCGGGAAACCGGGAUUAAAACCUGAUAAUGCCAAACAGUCACAUGGCUGUUUGGCCAAAGAUUUAUCGGCUGAGGAUGGGCCUGCGUCUGAUUAGUUAGUUGGUGGGGUAACGGCCUACCAAGACGACGAUCAGUGGCGGACCGGACAGGGUGAUCGGACACAUUGGAACGGAGACACGGUCCAAACUCCUAGGGGAGGCAGCAGUGGGAAUAUUUCACAAUGGGCGAAAGCCUGAUGCAGCAACGCCGCGUGAGCGAUGAAGGCCUUUGGGUCGUAAAGCUCUGUCCUAGGGGACGAACACAAUGACGGUACCCUUGGAGGAAGCCCCGGCUAACUACGUGCCAGCCGCCGCCGUAACAC
rnacentral:rRNA from 1 species